GGAGACGUGGCCGAGUGGUCGAAGGCGCUCCCCUGCUAAGGGAGUAAACCAGGAAUGGUUUCGAGGGUUCGAAUCCCUUCGUCUCCG
rnacentral:tRNA from 1 species